CUCGAGCAAGCUGAGCUCCCUGGCCAGCUGCAGAACUCGCGGAGCCAAGUGCCGCUGCUCACUCAGAAGGAAGACCUCCCAGUCCACGGAAGGGUUCCUGCAAUGCUUAUGUGGCAUUUCUGAGAAAAUCAUGAAAUUUGUGUUACUUGCAGCUGUUGUCUGGUGUAUUGUAAUACCACCAUCAGAGACCAGCAAGAGCUUUGAGGACAUCCGCUGCAAGUGUGUCUGCCCCCCAUAUAGGAAUAUCAGUGGACAGAUUUACAAGAAGAAUGUGUCACAGAAGGACUGCAACUGCCUGCAUGUGGUGGAGCCGAUGCCUGUGCCGGGGAACGAUGUCGAGGCAUAUUGCCUGCUGUGUGAGUGCAAGUAUGAAGAGCGAAGCACCACCACCAUCAAGGUCAUCAUCAUCAUUUACCUCUCAGUGAUUGGAGCCCUUCUGCUCUACAUGGUCUUUCUGAUGGUGGUCGACCCCCUCAUCCGCAAGCCUGAUGCCUACACCCAGCCCCUGCACAAUGAAGAGGAAAGCGAGGACGCCCAUUCACUGGCAGCAAUACGCCCUUCAGCUGCCACCCGGGCAAACACAGUGUUGGAGAGAGUGGAGGGAGCCCAGCAACGGUGGAAGCGUCAGGUGCAGGAGCAGCGGAAGACGGUGUUUGAUCGACACAAGAUGCUCAGCUAGAUCUCAUAGAAGGUUUGCAGUCCGGGAGGGAGCAGCAGCUGCUGGUUAGCUGGGCAGAUCUUGGUGGAAAGAAGCCAAUGAAAAGGUGCCAAAUUAUCAAUUGCCAAGUUCCAGAGGCACAUGUACAGUACGCACUGAUCUAACACUUCACACCCCCAAAAAGAAAAAGUCAAAAUGAGUUACUUUCUUGUGUGGUUACAUUGUCACAGCAAGCCAUCAUUGUGGUCUACCACAAAAAUGGAAAAAUUGUUUACAGACUGCGCUGGAUUUGAUCCAUCUAACAAAUUAAACUUAAAGGCUAUCUGUCCACAAAUAAAGAGAUGGCUUUAAUACGAAAUAAUUUGUGUGUUUACAAGUGACUAACCCUUCAGUGCCAUUGGCCCAAUCCUGUGGAACACCCUGUCAACAGAGAUUCAGCAGACGUCUUCUGUGCCAACUUAAUUUUUAAUAUAUAUAUAUUAAUAAGCAAAAUAAACCAAAGAUAAAGAGCAUAAAAAUACAGGUUGAAAGCAUUCAGUGGACAUUAUCACUGAAUCUGUUCCAAAACAUUACCAAAAACCCCACCCAUUUCCCCCAUAAACCUGUUGUGCUGGGUUAUAUGUAUUAUUUUAUAAUACAUUAGUUUAAUCAUAAUUACUAUGGAAUAAAUUUCUCAGUCCAUUUAGAUAUAGUAAGAGCUAUGCUUUCAUCCCAGUUUUUAGCUAUUAUACUCUUAGCAGCAGCUAUAACACUUGAUCGUUUUCCAGAAUAACAUCCUCUAGAUAACCAAGCAGAAAUAUUUUAGGUUCCAAGGGUAUUUGAUAUCCUAACAUAGCAUAGAUAUUAUCCUGAAUGGAUAUCCAGAAUAUGUCUAUUUGAGGACAAUGCCAGAAGAUAUGUAUGCAAUCUGUUUUAUUUAAUCCACAUCUCCAACAUUUAGCCAAUCCUAACUUAUUCAUGAAAUUCAAUUUAUAAGGUGUUAAAUACCAUUUAAAGUAGUUUUUUUAGGUCUGCAGAAAUUAUAUUAGAAUAGAAGUUGUCCCAAAUCCAGUUCCAUUGUUUCCUAGUUAUUCUUUGAAUUCAAAUCUCACACCCAUUUUCUCAUAUCUGUAUCCUGGGUCAGAUCCAAGUUUAACCUUCUGUGCCAACUUCUGAAAACUUUUUUAUUAUGCCAGGCCUAUGCAGGAAAUUAAGAGUGCAUUACUCACAAUGGUCUAUUGCUGUUUGUUUUUAAUUCUUUUGCUUUUAACUUGUUUUACUUUCUUAUGCUUUUUUGUAUGACUUUAUGUUCUUGUAUUGUGGUAAAGCACUGUGAUAUAGUUCUACGAUACAGCAGUAGAUAAAUAUUUAAUAAAUAAAUAAGAAUGAAAGCAAUAAGUAUACCUAUAGAAACAAAAUCACCUAGAAGAAGACAUGUAAAUAUGACCCAAGUUUGAGGACUAAUUUAGGCGUGUCUCUCUUCUCUUCUCUUUUCUCCUCUUCUUUUGUUCUUUUUCUUGCAAAUUUUACAUUUUGAAAGAUAUUUAAUGGGGAAGGAAGCAAAAUAGGUUUACCAACUUGCAAAUAAGUGUUUUUUCUCCCAAAUGAUUUGAAAUAGCAUUACCAGCCUUUUUGACUGCAAUUGUACCUGUGUAUUUAACAGAAGCUUGGUUACAAGUGCAGGCAUUAAAAAAUAAUGUUUAUCGCAUGCUGUGAAAAGCUUCGCCUACAGAUGUCUGCAGAUCAAGCUACUGUUAAGAGCAUAAGAGCAGGCCUGGCCUUUUAAUUUUGGGUUAGUUGGCAACACAUUGUACUUGCCUUUUCAUUUCCUACAUGUGCUCUCUCUUAGCUCGAUAUGUUCCUAACUGUCCGCUGUAUCCUUUCCAAAGUAUUUCUUCACUAGACUUCUUUCCUUUCCUUUUUUCAAUUAUGUCAAGUAAUAAAACGAAAUGUGUUUACUCUAUAAUUAAGAACUUGGAGCGAGGAAGAGUUUAAUCUGGCAGUAGGGAAACCUAGCUAAAGGGUAAAAACACAGAAAAUGCUUUUUAAAAAAUUUAACAGUUCUUUUAAUGCAGCCCACAAAUAAAUUCUUCAGAUGAGAUUACCGGUUCCAACUUUCUAAUGAAGAAAUCAUGGUGGGUGGGUGUUUUCCCUCCGCAAAUGAUUAUCCUCCUGUCAAAUGUCACUGGUAUAUGAACCGCAGCUUGGAUCACAUUAGUGGUUCACUAUGGAAUGGGCUGCCUAGCCUGAUCCUUAAAGGUCAAGGCUAGACCACAAACUUGUGUCAGUUUCUUAUAACAUUUGUUGUUGUUUCUUCUCCCAAGAAAACCUUGGGAAUUUUAGUAGGGUGAGGUGGUGAGAACGCCUGUCUUUCAUAUAGUGCUACUGGUAAUGAAGGUCUGGCGAUGGGAGGAAAAACCUCAUAGAAUGACUCUGGUAGGGAGCCAGAUGCUUAGUGAAGACUUUUUGUUUAUUUUCGAUUCCCCCCCCCCCAGAUUUUUAAGGUUAAUGCUACAGUGGUACCUCAGGUUAAGUAC